rnacentral:rRNA from 1 species
GGUCGGGGCGGUCGGUCUGCCUGUUCCUUUGUGAAUGGGUUUGUACCUUGUCCAGUUCCGGCCAUGUUCGGGGAAUGGCGAGCUGGCAUUAAGUUGUCUGGUUCGUGUUGUUGCCCGUCGUUUACUGUGAGCAAAAUAGAGUGUUCAAAGCAGGCUUAAGCCGUUGAAUACAUUAGCAUGGAAUAAUAAGAUACGACCUUGGGUGUAUUUUGUUGGUUUGCGAUCCGAGGUA